rnacentral:rRNA from 1 species
GACGAACGCUGGCGGCGUGCUUAACACAUGCAAGUCGAGCGGUAAGGCCCCUUUGGGGGUACACGAGCGGCGAACGGGUGAGUAACACGUGGGUGACCUGCCCUCAGCUCUGGGAUAAGCCUGGGAAACUGGGUCUAAUACCGGAUAUGACUCCAUGACGCAUGUUGUGGGGUGGAAAGCCUUGUGCGGCUGGGGAUGGGCCCGCGGCCUAUCAGCUUGUUGGUGGGGUGAUGGCCUACCAAGGCGACGACGGGUAGCCGGCCUGAGAGGGCGACCGGCCACACUGGGACUGAGACACGGCCCCAGACUCCUACGGGAGGCAGCAGUGGGGAAUCUUGCGCAAUGGGCGAAAGCCUGACGCAGCGACGCCGCGUGGGUGAGGAAGUCCUCGGA